UACGGAGGGUGCAAGCGUUGUCCGGAUUUAUUGGGUUCAAAGGGUGCGUAGGCGGGUCUUUAAGUCAGUGGUGAAAGCCCAUAGCUCAACUAUGGAAUUGCCAUUGAUACUGGAGGUCUUGAAUUCAGUAGAGGUAGGCGGAAUUGAAGGUGUAGCAGUGAAAUGCAUAGAUACCAUCAGGAACACCGAUUGCGAAGGCAGCUUACUGGACCUUUAUUGACGCUGAGGCACGAAAGCGUGGGGAGCGAACAGG
rnacentral:misc_RNA from 1 species